rnacentral:lncRNA from 1 species
GCCAGGUGUGGUGGCAGGUGCCUGUAGUCUCAGCUACUUGGGAGGCUGAGGCAGGAGGAUCACUAGAGCCUAGGAGUUCUGGGCUAUAGUGUGCUAUGCCCAUCGGGUAUCUGCACUAAGUUCAACAUUAUUAUGGUGACCUCCCGGGAGCAAGGAACCACCAGGUUGCCUAAGGAGUGGUGAACCGGCCCAGGUAGGAAACAGAGCAGGUCAAAACUCCCACGCUGAUCAGUAGUGGGAUCACACCUGUGAAUAGCCACUGUACUCCAGCCUGGGCAACAUAGUGAGACCCUGUCU